CCUUCACUAUCACUCGUUAUUCUACUGAUCAUGUGCGUAUUCACGGCAACCUUCGCAUAUCUCGCAAAUUGAGCAUAGCAACAUAGCUUGCCAAGUUUUGCGAGAUUUCGCUAAAUUUUGGCUGGGAUUCUUUUCACAAAUUUACCCAGCAAUGAAGCAUGUCCUUUUGGCAAACUUAUUUCGCAAACUCAUCCUCACCAUCACCAGGAACAGAAAUGAAAGAAAUCCAUAGAAACAUUGCCAAAGUAUAUAGUUUUCAGUAGAUUUUGAGUAGAUUUUCGAGAUUUUCUAGAAGUCAUAUUUCGCGAAUCCCCUCACAACAGAAAUACCUUGACCUUCGCAAGUUUGCUAAAUAAGUUGUCGUGAGUACGCCCAACAUUUAAAGCAUUUAUUCCAGUUAACAAGAAAUGGGGCCAGAUAAGGCCAUCGAGGAUGAAGGGAUUAACGCUAUGAAUUACUAUUAUGGAUUUCUCGUCUCUUCUUUUCUACUCCAUCAAUUGACCAGUUUCACCAUCUGUUUCGAAGAACACAUGUUCUGCGGCCACGUCCAAGCUAUUUUGCUGGAAAUGAACGCUGGCUUAGUUCUGCUUAUUUAUACGUGUCGGGUCAUCGUACACUGGGUGACGAAAAAGUGUAAGGAAAUUGAUUUUCAGAAAUCUUUGAAAAAUAACGAUGGAUCACUUACAUAUUUAUCUAAGUGUAGAGAAUAUGUAUGUAUUUAUUACAGCAAAAGUCUUCGUAAUGAAAGUUUUUGGUAAAAGGUUGCAGAACUCCAGGAGUUUUGACCUUUUAAUAUAUUUCUUAAUUACGCAGUAUCCAAACGAAGAAGACGCCGUCGCGAUGUGAGCAAUUCUGCAGGUCGAAGUUAUGAAUUAGGAAAACGCUUCAAUCAUCAAAAGUACCCAGAGGUCGUAGAUGCAACCGAUAUUGUGCAGUAUUUAGGAAUUUCAUCUACACAGAAAACCUUCAUCUAGAAAUAUCUCAAACGUUCUAAUGAACUUUAAAAAGUCCCACAGUUAAUCACUCCUCGUCAACUACAUAAACUAUGUCCCACCGCAAUAAGAUAACCUGCCACACGAAACUGACAAUGCAAGUCUUUUACAUGUACAACUCCGAUUUGGAUGAGACUGGCACCAAAAAAUCAAGCCAAAAAUUAGGAUGAACAUUUGGUUUGGCACUUUUUAUAAUGCUCAGGUUAUGACGAGAGAUGACGUGACGAAGUGACGAAAACGGGCCCGUGCGAGCCCCAUCUCACCGCUUCUCUCAUCCAUUGCUCUCUGACCUCCUCAUUGCUCCUCUCCUCCUUCUCGCUCGCUCGUUUUCACAACUUCAUGCGUUCUACAUUUUAUGACAU